UGGGGAAUUUUACGCAAUGGGGGAAACCCUGACGUAGCGACACCGCGUGAGCGAAGAAGCCUUUUGGGGUGUAAGGCUCUGUCAGCUGGAACGAACACAAUGACGGUACCAGCAGAGGAAGCAUCGGCUAACUACGUGCCAGCAGCCGCGGUAAGACGUAGGAUGCAAGCGUUGUCCGGAUUCAUUGGGCGUAAAGAGUUCGUAGGUGGUCUGUUAAGUUUGGUGUUAAAGAGCGGGGCCCAACCCCGAUAGUGCACUGAAUACUGGCAGACUUGAGUGCGGUAGAGGUAAGUGGAAUUCCAAGUGUAGCGGUGAAAUGCAUAGAUAUUUGGAAGAACACCGGUGGCGUAAGCGACUUACUGGGCCGUAACUGACACUGAGGAACGAAAGCCGGGGUAGCGAAUG
rnacentral:rRNA from 1 species